rnacentral:lncRNA from 12 species
ACAGGGGAGGGUGCAGGAGGCCAUGUUAUGGGAGCUGAGAUCACAAUGGAGCCAUGCCAAUGCCUUGACCUUGCAAGAGAACCAGAGCCAGUGGAAGAAACACUAUAUCAGCGAGAGUGCCAGAAAAACAAAAGGAAACAAAAAACAAUGCUCCCACUGUGGCCAGGCUCGGGCUACCUACUGCAGCCCCCGAGGUGGAGAGGCAGGCAGUCACCUGCACAUACGCUGUUGGAGCCACCUGCAGCACAUCGCUGGCUGUGCCAGGUGAUGCCACUAACUUCCAGCUCCCUCUUCAUGAGCCUGGAACUGCAUCCUAUGACCACUUCUCCUGCACCAGUUGGCGCUGUGAGGCAUUCUGCUAGGAGGCCACAGGAGAGAUACUGGAAGACAGGGCAGGCCCAGAUCUUCAUCCGUGGCUCUGCUGCCCUCUCCUCCAGCAAAGCAGCCAAUGGAUUAUGAAGGAAAAGAUAAAAAGCCACGAUAGAAAGUUUCCCAGACAGUUGGCGAGUGGUUCCUGUGAACUAGCUCUGGCCCAUCCACUUGGGGGCAUUUCGUCCUGUGGGCAGUCUGUGUUUCCAUGGCAGCCGCAUUGUCUUCAGCAAGAAUUACAUCUCAGCCUUAGUUCUUCCCUUGGUCACGUUCUUUUCUUUUUUUUUAAAUUUAUUUAUUUUUAUUUUUAUUUUUAUUGGAGUUCAAUUUGCCAACAUUUACCAUAACACUCAAUGCUCAUCCUGCCAAGUGCCCCCCCUCAGUGCCCAUCACCCAGUCACCUCAACUCCCCGCCCACCUCCCUUUCCACUACCCCUUGCUCGUUUCUCAGAGUUAGGUGUCUCUCAUGGUUUGCCCUUGGUCACUUUCAUCAGCCUACAAUAUUCGCUGCUUUCUGCAUUUGUAAUUUCUGGACCAUUUAAGCUCCUUCUUUAACUUCAAUAGCAAGUCACCUAGUGAAUUCAUUGCUCCAUCAUACCACUUGAAUUACAGUUGUGGUUUUUAUCUCCUUUUUGGACUCUGAUUGAUCCACGCACUCCAUGCAAUAAUCAACAAGAACAACAAAUGAAAAAUAGGUCGUGAAUCUCUUACCUUUGACCAAAAAUUUCCAGGCAGCAUAUCUAAGGUUUAAAUGAAGCAAUCCUUCAUAUUCUGUCAUGAGCCAAGAGAUGAAUGAGUUUAACCUGAAAUUA